GACAAGUCUACGCAGCCCNNCGCGUGAGUGAAGAAGGCCUUCGGGUUGUAAAGCUCUGUCGGAGGGGACAAAAACUUCAUAGGUUAAUAGCCUAUGGACUUGAUGGUACCCUUAAAGGAAGCACCGGCUAACUUCGUGCCAGCAGCCGCGGUAAUACGAAGGGUGCAAGCGUUGCUCGGAAUUAUUGGGCGUAAAGGGUAGGUAGGUGGUUGCGUAUGUCUGGGGUGAAAUCCCUGAGCUUAACUCAGGAAGUGCCUUGGAAACGGCGUAACUAGAGUACUAGAGAGGUUCGUGGAAUUCCCGGUGUAGCGGUGAAAUGCGUAGAGAUCGGGAGGAACAUCAGAGGCGAAGGCGGCGAACUGGAUAGUAACUGACACUGAACUACGAAAGCGUGGGUAGCAAACAGGAUUAGAUACCCUGGUAGUCCACGCUGUAAACGAUGGGUACUAGGCUUUGUGGGAGUUGACCCCUGCAGAGCCGGAGCUAACGCGAUAAGUACCCCGCCUGGGAAGUACGGUCGCAAGACUAAAACUCAAAAAAAUUGACGGA
rnacentral:rRNA from 1 species